rnacentral:rRNA from 1 species
GACAGAGGGGGCAAGCGUUGCUCGGAAUUACUGGGCGUAAAGCGCACGUAGGCGGAUAUUUAAGUCAGGGGUGAAAUCCCAGAGCUCAACUCUGGAACUGCCUUUGAUACUGGGUAUCUCGAGUAUGGAAGAGGUGAGUGGAAUUCCGAGUGUAGAGGUGAAAUUCGUAGAUAUUCGGAGGAACACCAGUGGCGAAGGCGGCUCACUGGUCCAUUACUGACGCUGAGGUGCGGAAGCGUGGGGAGCAAACAGG